GGUGCGUUGGUUCAGUGAGUAGAGCUUAGGGCUUGAGACUGGGAGGUCCGGGUUCGAAUCUCGCAAGAGUCG
rnacentral:tRNA from 1 species